ensembl:snRNA U6 U6 spliceosomal RNA
GUGCUCGCUUCGGCAGCACGUAUACUAAAAUUGGAACGAUACAGAGAUUAGCAUGGCCCCUGCACAAGGAUGACACGCAAAUUCGUGAAGCGUUCCAUAUUUAA